rnacentral:rRNA from 1 species
GGAGGAUCAUUAUCGUAGGGCUUCGGCCCUGUCGAGAUAGAACCCUUGCCUUUUUGAGUACCUUUCGUUUCCUCGGCAGGCUCGCCUGCCAAUGGGGACCACAAAAAACACUUUGCAGUACCUGUAACAGUCUGAACAAACAAAACAAAAAUUAAAACUUUCAACAACGGAUCUCUUGGUUCUGGCAUCGAUGAAGAACGCAGCGAAAUGCGAUAAGUAGUGUGAAUUGCAGAAUUCAGUGAAUCAUCGAAUCUUUGAACGCACAUUGCGCCCUUUGGUAUUCCUUAGGGCAUGCCUGUUCGAGCGUCAUUUAAACCUUCAAGCUAAGCUUGGUGUUGGGUGACUGUCCGCUUCACUGCGGACUCGCCUCAAAAUUAUUGGCGGCCGGUACAUUGGCUUCGAGCGCAGCAGAAACGCGAACUCGGGCCCGUCGUAUUGGCUCCCAGAAGCUAUCUUCACAAUUUUGACCUCGGAUCAGGUGGGGAUACCCGCUGAACUUAAGCAUAUCAAUAAGCGGAGGA